rnacentral:rRNA from 1 species
UACGUAGGUGGCAAGCGUUGUCCGGAAUUAUUGGGCGUAAAGCGCGCGCAGGCGGUCCUUUAAGUCUGAUGUGAAAGCCCACGGCUCAACCGGUGGAGGGUCAUUGGAAACUGGGGGACUUGAGUGCAGAAGAGGAAAGCGGAAUUCCACGUGUAGCGGUGAAAUGCGUAGAGAUGUGGAGGAACACCAGUGGCGAAGGCGCUUUCUGGUCUGUAACUGACGCUGAGGCGCGAAAGCG